ensembl:lncRNA
CAUCUAUGCGCUUCAGUUGAAAGCUACUGAGGACUGGACACAGUGGUUAGUCUUGGGACCAGUGCUAUUCAACAUCUUCAUCGCUGACACAGACGAUGGCAUCGAGUGCAUCCUCAGCAAGUUUGCAGAUGGACCUGGACAGGCUGGAGAACUGGGCCCAUGUGAAACUAAUGAAGUUCAACAAGGCCAAGUGCAAGGUGCUGUUCUUGGGCUGGGGCAAUUCCAGUAUUCCUUGUCAUAACAUCGUGUGGCAAGAAGUUUGGUGCUGAAGCACAGUGCCAAGGAGCUGCACUUCCUGGGUCACGUUCUACUAGAACUCUCAACUAUUCUCACACAAGUUCUGGCUCUCUGAGAGGAAGAUAUGCUGAGCAAGAGACAGACUACAAUCCCCAGAAGUCUUCAGUAAUCCCC